GUCCACACGGUAAACGAUGAAUACUCGCUGUUGGCGAUAGACUGUCAGCGGCCAAGCGAAAGCAUUAAGUAUUCCACCUGGGGAGUACGCCGGCAACGGUGAAACUCAAAGGAAUUGACGGGGGCCCGCACAAGCGGAGGAACAUGUGGUUUAAUUCGAUGAUACGCGAGGAACCUUACCCGGGCUUAAAUUGCACUGGACAGUCUGAGAGAUCAGAUUUUCUUCGGACCAGUGUGAAGGUGCUGCAUGGUUGUCGU
rnacentral:rRNA from 1 species